UAAGGAAUAUUGGGCAAUGGACGCAACUCUGACCCAGCCAUCCCGCGUGCAGGAGGACGGCGCUUCGCGUUGUAAACUGCUUUUGUACUGGAAGAAUGCCGGCCAUUUAUGGUUGUUAGACGUUAAAGUCAGAAUAAGCACCGGCUAACUCCGUGCCAGCAGCCGCGGUAAUACGGAGGGUGCGAGCGUUAUCCGGAAUCACUGGGUUUAAAGGGUGCGUAGGCGGACCGAUAAGUCAGAGGUGAAAUCCCGUCGCUUAACGAUGGAAUUGCCUUUGAUACUGUUGGUCUUGAAUUGGGAUGAGGUGUGCGGAAUGUGGCAUGUGGCGGUGAAAUGCUUAGAUAUGCCAUAGAACACCGAUUGCGAAGGCAGCAAACUGGCCCUUGAUUGACGCUGAGGCACGAAAGCGUGGGGAGCGAACAGGAUUAGAUACCCCGGUAGUCC
rnacentral:rRNA from 1 species